GCACUGCUGAAGAGUCCCACCUUGGGACGAAACGGCCGUCCAGUGC
rnacentral:hammerhead_ribozyme from 1 species